rnacentral:sRNA from 1 species
GAUUUGCGUGAGGGAUGGAAGUGGAGCUCUCCCGAUUUUUCAUCUGGAAGCGGGAACGUACAGCCCGACCCUUG